CAGGGACAGGCAGGAAAUUGCUCUCUUCCUCUUCCUCCUGCUCUCUUCUCUGGAGCCGCCAUGUGAGCCCGACAGGAGAGGAGGCAUGCCGCCACCAUCCUCAGCCAGAUCUCUUAGAUCCACAAGCCUUCCUGAAAACCUGGCAAAAGUGGGACCUGUGAAGCUUAGUGGCAUACUUUCAAAGACUAGAGAAAAUUAAGGAGCACAUGCAAAGGUGUGAGUCACUCAGCGUCCUGCCAUCCUUCACUGUCUCAAAAGGGAUGCUUUGGCUUUCUAAUUUAUGUUCACACCAAAUGGGGGUGCAGCUCAGAAGAUGCCCAGCUUAUCCAACCCCCCUUCAAGCAAAAGAUUCAAUGAAGGCCAGCAUUGUUUAGUCUGCAUAAACAGAGGCCAGACCUGUGAAGCCAGGAAGACAAAAAGCCCGCCCUCUAGCGGUCACACUGGGCAGCGCUCAUCACUCCCGGGAGCACCAACAGGAAGGCGGGAGCGUGAGGGCUAAAAUGACGGAGAGAUCCAUUACUGCGCGCAGCGGGGGUGAGGAUGCUGCGCGGAGCUGGAUCCUGGCACUUUACAGCUCUCUGGGUCGCCAAGACCUCACUAGCCUGGGACGGGACGUUGCUGAGCAGAGGGAGGACCCGCUUAGCCUGUGGCUCUCCUUUAUGCUCAGGACUGUGCCCUUGCCGUGUUCCCUAACCAAUCACUCCCGCCAAACCCCUAGUAGAGCGAUUGACAGCAUCCUAGUUUUUAAAUUGGCAGGGCCAAAAAGUGGACCGGGCGCGGGAAAGGGGCGGGGGGUACAUUAAAAAUAACAGAACUCGAGGGCCCUCCUGCUGAAACAGGGCGGACAUCAG
rnacentral:lncRNA from 1 species